UACGUAGGGUGCGAGCGUUGUCCGGAAUUAUUGGGCGUAAAGGGCUCGUAGGCGGUCUGUCGCGUCGGGAGUGAAAACUCAGGGCUUAACCCUGAGCCUGCUUUCGAUACGGGCAGACUAGAGGUAUGCAGGGGAGAACGGAAUUCCUGGUGUAGCGGUGGAAUGCGCAGAUAUCAGGAGGAACACCGGUGGCGAAGGCGGUUCUCUGGGCAUUACCUGACGCUGAGGAGCGAAAGUGUGGGGAGCGAUCAGG
rnacentral:rRNA from 1 species